UACGUAGGGUGCGAGCGUUGUCCGGAAUUAUUGGGCGUAAAGAGCUUGUAGGCGGUUUGUCGCGUCUGCUGUGAAAAUCCGGGGCUCAACCCCGGACUUGCAGUGGGUACGGGCAGACUAGAGUGUGGUAGGGGAGACUGGAAUUCCUGGUGUAGCGGUGAAAUGCGCAGAUAUCAGGAAGAACACCUAUGGCGAAGGCAGCACUCUGGGACGGUACUGACGCUGAGACGCGAAAGCGUGGGGAGCGAACAGG
rnacentral:rRNA from 1 species